CGGUUGGUGACAGAGGGGACAGGAUCCGGCGUGGGUGAGGAUGAGCUGGGAGGGAGCUGCCGCCGGCGCCCGGAGCAAUGCCGGCCCAGCCCGCCUGGUGGCAAACUGCUUUCGCUGGAACUGCCUCCGUUCGUCAGACCACCGGGGAACUCCUUUAGCUGUGACAUUGUAAUGGGAGGUGGAGACACCUCGAGGAGAAGGUCGAGACAGACAACAGCAAUUACAGUCAAUAGCAUCCUGACUUGCCUCGAUUACAGAAACCUCAGAAGAACUAUACACCCUUAAAAUCUGUGUUGAUGUGUUUUAAAUGAAUGAUAUGGAGCACAUCCACUCUCAGCAGGUUGCAGGAAGGGGCCAUAAA